AUUGAACGCUGGCGGCAUGCCUUACACAUGCAAGUCGAACGGUAACAGGUCUUCGGAUGCUGACGAGUGGCGAACGGGUGAGUAAUACAUCGGAACGUGCCUAGUAGUGGGGGAUAACUACUCGAAAGAGUGGCUAAUACCGCAUGAGAUCUACGGAUGAAAGCAGGGGAUCGCAAGACCUUGUGCUACUAGAGCGGCCGAUGGCAGAUUAGGGAGUUGGUGGGAUAAAAGCUUACCAAGCCGACGAUCUGUAGCUGGUCUGAGAGGACGAUCAGCCACACUGGGACUGAGACACGGCCCAGACUCCUACGGGAGGCAGCAGUGGGGAAUUUUGGACAAUGGGCGAAAGCCUGAUCCAGCAAUGCCGCGUGCAGGAUGAAGGCCUUCGGGUUGUAAACUGCUUUGUACGGAACGAAAAGCCCUGGGUUAAUACCCUGGGGUCAUGACGGUACCGUAAGAAUAAGCACCGGCUAACUACGUGCCAGCCGCCGCAGUAA
rnacentral:rRNA from 1 species